rnacentral:rRNA from 1 species
UACAGAGGGUGCGAGCGUUAAUCGGAAUUACUGGGCGUAAAGGGUGCGUAGGUGGUUGAAUAAGUUAGGUGUGAAAUUCCCGGGCUUAACCUGGGGACUGCGCCUGAUACUGUUUAACUAGAGUACUGUAGAGGAAGGUGGAAUUUCCGGUGUAGCGGUGAAAUGCGUAGAUAUCGGAAGGAACAUCGGUGGCGAAGGCGACUUUCUGGACAGCUACUGACACUGAGGCACGAAAGCAUGGGGAGCAAACAGG